AAGAAAGUCAAAGUCAGGCGAACGCAGACUCAUCCAAAUAAACACCAUUUCCAUGGUUUUAAUAAGCAAAAUAGGAAACCAUUUUAAUAACCAAAAAACAGAAACCAGUCUGAAUAAAACUACAAUAGACUAGGUUUUAAUAUUUUCAUAUCAUAAGCAGGGUUUGAAAUUGAUCCCUUAUUUUACAUGAAAUAAAAACAAAUUUCUGUUGCAGCAAAUUUGAUUUCAACACAGUUGAAUCCGUAAAAACCGAAGCUCGUUUCUGAUGCAGGACAAAUAUCCACAAUAUUUAAAACUGCAAGCACCAUGCGGUUCAUACAAUCUUGUUAUUACUGUUAAUUUAUCAACUAAUACAAACUCAAAAAUGCAUCUGGCCAGCAGCGCCAGCAAUUUCAAAUGGGAACUAAAAAAUACGCUUUCAUUUUGGUAUUUUUGUCAGUGCAACUUAAAUCCUUUUACUGACCUGCAGGAAAAAAAAAAAAGGA
rnacentral:lncRNA from 1 species